rnacentral:rRNA from 1 species
CGGCCUGGCGCAGCUACACAUGCAGUCGAACGGUAGCACAGAGAGCUUGCUCUCGGGUGACGAGUGGCGGACGGGUGAGUAAUGUCUGGGAAACUGCCUGAUGGAGGGGGAUAACUACUGGAAACGGUAGCUAAUACCGCAUAACGUCGCAAGACCAAAGAGGGGGACCUUCGGGCCUCUUGCCAUCAGAUGUGCCCAGAUGGGAUUAGCUAGUAGGUGGGGUAACGGCUCACCUAGGCGACGAUCCCUAGCUGGUCUGAGAGGAUGACCAGCCACACUGGAACUGAGACACGGUCCAGACUCCUACGGGAGGCAGCAGUGGGGAAUAUUGCACAAUGGGCGCAAGCCUGAUGCAGCCAUGCCGCGUGUAUGAAGAAGGCCUUCGGGUUGUAAAGUACUUUCAGCGGGGAGGAAGGCGAUGAGGUUAAUAACCUUGUCGAUUGACGUUACCCGCAGAAGAAGCACCGGCUAACUCCGUGCCAGCAGCCGCGGUAAUACGGAGGGUGCAAGCGUUAAUCGGAAUUACUGGGCGUAAAGCGCACGCAGGCGGUCUGUCAAGUCGGAUGUGAAAUCCCCGGGCUCAACCUGGGAACUGCAUUCGAAACUGGCAGGCUAGAGUCUUGUAGAGGGGGGUAGAAUUCCAGGUGUAGCGGUGAAAUGCGUAGAGAUCUGGAGGAAUACCGGUGGCGAAGGCGGCCCC